UACGAAGGGGGCUAGCGUUGUUCGGAUUUACUGGGCGUAAAGGGCGCGUAGGCGGCCACCGCAAGUCGACUGUGAAAUCUCCGGGCUUAACCCGGAAAGGUCAGCCGAUACUGCGGGGCUAGAGUGCAGAAGGGGCAACUGGAAUUCUCGGUGUAGCGGUGAAAUGCGUAGAUAUCGAGAGGAACACCUGCGGCGAAGGCGGGUUGCUGGGCUGACACUGACGCUGAGGCGCGAAAGCUAGGGGAGCGAACGGG
rnacentral:rRNA from 1 species